AAAAAUGAUUGCUUGGACAGGGGUGCAGGGCAUUACUGGCACUGUGCAUGCUAUCUCUUGUUUGAUGGGCAGGGGUCUCCUACCACCUGUUCUUUGUGCCCUGGGCCUGUGCCGUGGUGCAGCUACAAAAGCCUUACAAAUUUCAUUGAGUUGGCAGAGUGGUUUUGUAGCUUGAAAGAGGUUGUCUUCCUGGUGACUGACCUCUCACUCCUGGACGAUUGAGAUUCUUAGACUCUAUUCUGGCUAAAUGCCGACCAUAUCAGAGCCCAAAGCUCUCCUCUUGGAGACCCCCAAGACCUGCUUGAAGCUCUGUUUCCUUGGAGCUACAAUCUACCAAAAGGGGAAAAAAUGCAUAUAUCAUUUUGUAUUAUUAGGACUUUAAUUCCACUUCUUUUAUAGGGCUUAACCAAGAUAGACAUUUAUUUCUCUCUCACUGCAAGGCAGUUUCCACUCCAUAAGGCCAUACAGAGACACAGGCUCCUCCUCUCUUGUUGCUCUGCCAGCUCUGAGACCUUGUCCUUAAUCACAUAGUCUAAGAUGGAACAUGACCACGUCCAGGUAGAAGACAGAGGACAAGAAGGGGGAGGUAUGACCUUCCUUUUACGUGUAUAAUCACUGGUCAGAUUGGAGUCAUGUGAUAGGCCCAGUCACAAGGGAGGCUGGGUAAUGUAGUUUUUAUUCUCAAUAUCCAUGUGCCUAGCUAAGCAUCAGGGGUUGUUAAGAAGAACGGGAAAAUAGAUAAUGGCAGACAAUUAACCAUCAAGGUCUUAGUUUCCUUCUUGACAAAGUUAAGUAGCAAAGGUUCAGGCCUCAGCAAGACUUGGCUUGAAUUCCAACUCUGCUGCUUGCUAAAUAGAAUAAACUUAGACAAACCUCAUCUGCUCUGUUUUCUCAGUUGUAAAGUAGCAAUAAUAUCAUAAUAAUCUCAACUUCACAGGACUCUUGUGAAGACGCAUGUAGAAUAUCUAUUGCCAGGCCUCCAGCUAGUAGCAAAACCUUGAUUGGUGUCCUCCUCUCCUUGAUCUCAUUGUGCUCCAUCCAGAUGGUAGCAGCUCCUGGAAUGUUUCUUGCAUUAGCUUGCUACAUGCCUGCUCCUCCCAGGCUUUGAGGUCUUGAGAACAAGGACCAUGCUUGUUAUCAUUUUGGCAUUCUGAGUAGGUUGCAUAGUGCCUGGAACAGACUUUGUAGUUAUGUGCAGUCAAGUUGGCUCUGACUCCUGGUGACCCUAUGAAUAAGUGAUGUCCACCGUGACCUGUCCUAAAUAGCCCUAUUCAGCUCUGUAGACUCAAGCCUGUGAUUUCUUUUAUGGAGUCAAUCCAUCUCAUCAUUGGUCUUCCUCUUUUCCUGCUGCCUUCUACUUUUCCAAGCAUUAUUGUCUUUUCCAUUAUUAUCUUUCUCCUGAUGUACCAAGUCCUUCAUAAUGUUUGCUCUCAUGAAUAAAGGAAUGGAAAACCACUGUUGAUGAAGCCAGACCUGACAGUAUAGGGCCCAUAUAUGCUGGCCCAAGAUGGCACCCUACAUGUGAGGUACUGCACUGUUUCCCACAUGAGCUAACUCAUUCAUUCAUCGUUAGUAGAUGCUAUUAUUAUCACUGUGCUUUUCAGGGACACAAACUGAGAUAAAGAGAUGCUGCUUAAUUUGCCGAAACCCAUACAGAUAUUAGGUGGAAGAUCUGGGCUUUGAAUCCAGGAAGCCCGGUAUUAGGAUCCAUGCUCUUCACCACCAUGUCAUACAGACUCUGCUUUGGGAUAGAUGAAAGAUGCUUCGUUUAAAGAUAGAUUAAGUUGUGCUUUUUCAUAUUUGAUUUCAAAGAAAAAAAUCAUCCCCGUAUCCUCAGUUAUUAGAAGAAUCAUUUCAUCUAAUCUGGUGGUCUUCCUUCCUUCCUUCUUCCCUCUCUUUUUCUUCUGUCACAGAAGAACAAGUUUUUUCUCUAAUAAAUCACCAUAACAUAUAAAACAGAACACAGUAGUCUCAGAUCUUACCUCCUAGGUUUCCCCAUCACCUCUGCAGGUGUUUCUUAAACCAGUCCAAGAUUCUAUGAAAUACACUUUGCAAACCAUUCAUUAUUUCACCCCUUUUUGUACAGAGGGGAAAACAGAGUCUAGUACAGGAAAGGAUUUGCCCAAGUCUGGAUGAGAACUGUAGAAAGCAUCCCGGUGCCCAGUUCAGUAACAUACCCUAUCAAUCUCUGAGAAGGCCAUAAGAUACUUUCUACAAAGUCACCUAAACUCAAGACGAGGAGGUUACAGUUCAGUUACUGUGAAUUACAGCUUCAGAUAACUCAAGAGAACACAUUGAUUAUUCAAGACUGUUGUUGUUAAGCAAAAAUAUAUGUGGCCAAUAUUUGGAGUCAGGACAUUUGUUGUGAUCCACGCUCGAGAGGCAGAUGUGUUGUUUAUUCUAUGGGUUUGCGAAGUGCCAAGUCCCCCGCAGUGAGUAACUUAGUGACUCAAAUACAAACCCCAAACUCCAAACUGGCUCGGGAGAGGUGGCGCUUGCAGAAAAUCCUGCUUCAUCUAGCCCAAGGAGCUGACCGCCCAUGAGCCGGAAACAGACCUCAAAGCGGGAAAGAAACAGAAGUGUCCAAAGAAGAAAUGGAAAACACAACCCAGAAGCAAAACCAUGCUUCCAGAAAAACCAUGGGUGAGCUGAGUCGAGGGUAGUAUUCUGGGGUGGUUUCUCAAGGAGGCUGGGCUCCUGUGUUCUCCAUGGGGGGAUGCGAUGUGAAGACAAGAACUGUCAACUUUAAAAGGCUCCAGAGAAUUUGGAUCCCAGAAGCAUUAUUAGGCUGUUGUCUUAGAUCUGGGGGUGCAAAGUCCAUGUCCACCCAGGCUGGGCAGGAAAUGUACACUAGUGAGUGAGCUGAGUGUAAGGUGACAAAAGACAGUUAACAGUCUCAAUGUUGUGAGGCAAUGGGGAGUUGUGGGCAGUGGGGGGGACACGCCUCAAUUAAAGAGAGCAGCGGCCGACCCCUACCCAAUUUUUGCCGUGUGGAAAUGUGGGUCCAGUGUUGACAGAUGUUUUGAUUUGUCAAAAGAAUUUAAAAACCUUGGUUUUCAUGAGCAAUCUGCUUUUAAAAACAUUGUCAACUAGUGCACAGUUUUAAAAACAGUCUGGGAGUUCUCUGCUCUCCUUCAUUAAUGUGACCACUAAUGGUGGCCAUGGAUUAUCUGCUGUGGUCCCCCACUGAAGACCCUUGGAGCAGAGAGAGGACUUCUAAUUCUGCCCCUUCAUUCUACAGAUGUCAUCUUAAGUCACACAACUGUCAUCUUAAGUCAUCUUAAGUCACAAGACUGUCGUUGGCAGAGUUGGGAUGAGAACCAGUUCUGAGUUCUAUCUUUCUUUCCUUCACAAUACAGAUUCUAGAACAGUGUCAGUUUUCCAGAAUUGAACAGCUGUGUGUACUGAGUAAGGACAAGCUAAGGCUCCUGCUUUCCAUGGAGAAAUCCUGAUUCAAAGUGAUUUAAACAAUCCAUGAAAUUCUUAUCUUUUGUAUUCGGAAGAUCAGAGAAAGGACAGGCUCCAGGUCCAAUGUGAACAUUGAUAUCAGGAAUCUGGGUGCUUUCUGCCUUUCUGCUCUACUUGUCUCAUUUUGCUUCAUCCCAAGAUUCCUUCCUUCCAUCUCUUUCUCCCCUCCUCCUUCUUCUUCUCUCUCUCUUUUUUUCUCUCCCGCUCUCUUUUUCCUCUUAGUUACAAGACUGCCAAUGGCAGAUGAGUCUAUGUCCAUUGUUCCAUCUGGCAGGAGAGAAUGAAAAGCCUUGAAACCUCUCCCACAGGCAUGGAUUAUAGAUCUUCUGUGCCAGCUGGUUGAGCUUCCUGUCCAUUCCUAGACCAAUGCCAGUACACAAGGGAAAGCUGUGUGCUGGUUGGCUGGACUGUGCAAUUUACUCCAGGAGUUGAGAUGGGACCCUGUGGGGGAAGGGUUUGCAUGUUUGUGACCGCCUUCUGCUCACCUGGAUACCUCAGCUCUUCACGGAGCCCAAUGAGUCAACCUGUGAAUCUUCAGGAUAUCCUUAUGGUAGGCUGGACUCGGGCUUUUCCACCAAUAUCCAGAAGCCUGGCUUUCUGUCUUCCUAGCAAAGCUAGUUUAAAGCAGGUCUUCUCAACCUUUAACUGCACCAGAUUCCCCAAGGAGCCUGGUGAAAAUGAACAUUCCCAGUCUGCCAUCCUGGAAGAUUCCGAUUCCAUAGGUCAGAGAAUUUGCGUAUUUUACACUCUUCCCAGGUGAUUUUGAUUUGCGUGGUCAAAUAUCAUAGUUUAAGGAAUGCUUCUCUAGACUAUGAAACCUGGAUGGCCCACAACUCAAGAAUAUUCAAGAAGUAGCCACCAGUCAUUACGGAAAUGCUUAGACUCAUGACAGGUAGAGUUUGAAUCUGACGGCACUAUAGAAAUGUAUUUUUUGCAACUAUUUUUGAAUUCUUGGAAUCGAAAAUUGCAUCUGAGUUUCUAAUCAUGGUUUUCUGGAGUGUACUGAAGGAACCUUUGGAAAAGAGUGAGAUCGUAUUGGGAGGGUGAUGGAAGGAAUGUCAUUUGUUCCUCCAGCUUUUAUCCAUAUCUAGAAUUAUCCUUAGUGCAUGGGUUACAAGACACUGGAUGGGAGGUUGUCCUGAUUGUAGUUAAAUAGUGUAACCCUAUUUGUGAGAUUUUAGCCACUGAAUGAUUUAGGUUAUACUUACAUUAAACAAAGCUGAAUCCCAAGUGAGAAAAUUACUUCCUUUAAUGCUUAUUUAAUCAUUCUGAUAACUCAGGGAGUUUGAGGCUAGCAUUUCCCUCCUCUCUGUAACUUGCUAUAUCCAUUUUUGACAAAGAGAGAGCAGAGCCUGGGUUCAGAGGCUUGAAAUUAAUAUCAAUAUAAUUAUAUUAUCUUUAAUAUAAUUAAAAGCAUCUAGCUGUCAUUUAAUUAUAUGGUUUUGCUUUCAUCGUGUUUCAGACAAGAGGCAUGUUAGAUUAGGCUGACCUAAAAAAAAAAUUCCAGUGACCUAAGACAAACACAGUCUUAUUUGAUACUCACGCUGUUUGUCUGUCAUGGAUCUCAGAGGGGUUUUGCUCAUGGAAUCACUCAGGAACCUGGCUGAUGGAAUGGCCACUAUGUCAAAUAUUGUUGCUUCUCACGGCGGGGAGCAAGAGAACUUUGAAAGUAGUUUUCACAUUGACUGUUAAAUAUUGUGGUCUGCACGUGACACAUGGAACUUCUGUUCACAACCAUUGGCCAGAACUAGUCACAUGGCUCCACCCAACUACAGAGUCCUCAUGUGAUUGGGCCGGGGGGUGAAAUGGAGAUAUUUGGUAAAGAUCACAGAUGCUCACUACACAACCUGGUUAUUUGCUCUGUCUCCCAGCCGAUGUUCUUCCAUUGUUUUCUUUCAGAUUCUGAGGGUCGGCACCUUCCCUAGGGAUGCGUGAACACGGAAAGGGCAGCCAGACGUCCACGCAAAACAGUAACGGGACAGCCUGGCCUUCCUCCUGGGUUCACACCCUCCCUGUCUAUGUGACUUUGGGCAAGUCACUUCACCUCACUGGUCCUCAGUGUCCUCAUCUGUAAAGUGGGAUAAUAAUAGUGACAUCAGCAACUUCAGAGGGUCGUUGAGAGAUUGAAAGGGUUAAUAUUUGCAAAGCAGUGGGAGGGAACCCAGUUUAGGGCUUCAUGAGGCAAAGUUCUCCUUGCAGAAGCAGAGCCUACAGGAGGAAGUGCGCUCAGCCAGGUGAAUAGGGUGGCAAUACGUGUUCCAGGCAAAAGGAAUGGCAAAGUGUGGGAUUGUGGCGAGCUUUGAUGAACUUCCACCAGAAAUUCUGGGUCGAGAGCCCCUUUGCAUAAGAGUUUUGAUGCUUUUCCUUUGGUGCCUUAUGAGUGACGUUGGGUUCUUGGCUGUUGCAGAAGUCCCGCUUCUCAAGAUGCGGCUCAGCCUUAUCACCCAAGACCAGUUUUUUGAGACCUUGGAACUACUCUCUCCGGGUGGCCUGGAGAUGACUGCCACCUGCAGAGUGGUAGAGAGGGACUUCUCUUAGAUGAGUUUUGGAAACACAGGGACUAAGAAAUGAGGGUUUGGAUUACUUUAGCAAGUGAGUCCUUUUCAGAGCAUAGAGAGCUGGGGUAGGGGUGUGUGUGUGUGGCAGGGCAUAGGGAGAGCUGGUGAGGAAGAGGCGGGAAGAAAUCCAUGGGGAAUUCUUCUAAAAGACAGAAAAAUGCAGAGCUCUAGUUCAGAAGAGGUGGACCGUGACCUUGUUCAUUUCACAUCCAUUUACCUUCCCAGGUCGCUUCGGCCUGGAUUUGCUCACCAGGUGAGUGAGUUUCAGGAAACUGCUUUGAGCUCUAGUCUUGGCUUCAGCAGCCACCCAAGCUUGAUGAGGCUGGUGGGUGGUAUCAUUUGGCUGGCACCCUGGCUAGAAUGUCAUUCACUGAGCAAACCUGACUUUCUGGAAAGAACUUCUGCUUCACUGCCAGGCAAGAGCAAAGCUUGCCACCGUAAGGAACCGUGGAAGUUUCCUAUCCUCCAGGAAUCAUUAGUCAAAGAAGCAUGAUGCUGAUUAAUUAACGAAUGUAACAAUCAUGGCAGGGUAUUUGCCACUGGGACUUAACCCCCUACUAUGCCUCAGGCACAGCCAGAGUCCCUCUCCAUAGAUGAGCUCAUUUGAUUCCCACAAGCUUGAAAGGGAAGCACGAUUUUGAGAGGGAACCUUUGCUACAGCUCAUUGGAGGGAAUGGCCAUGGUGAAGUGUAAAAUCAAAGUUCUUAUUACUAGGAAACGUGUGGUAGUGCCCCAGAUCUCUACCCUAAUCCUGACUCUGUAACCCAUCUCCUCACUCAAGAAAAAGUUUAAGGAUUUAAUAUUUUACUGCUUUGGCCAUGUCAUUGGAAGGAAGAUGUUCUGUAUGCUGGUGCUGACAUCUCCAUUUUGAGAUGAGGAAACUGAGGCUCAGAGAAGUCAAGUCAUUUGGAGUUCCACAGUGGCAGAGCUGAGAUUAUUCUUUUUUUUAAACCUUAGCUUUUUAUUUUGACAUAAUUUCAGACUUGCACAGAAGUUGCCAAGAAUCCCCGUCUACGCUUUAUCCAGCUCUCGCAAUGUUAAUACUUUAUUACAUUGGCUUUACCCUUUCUCUUCUUUUUCAUUCCAAAGCAUUUGAGAUCGGGUUGCAGACUUAACGUCCCUUUACCUCUCAAUACGUUAGUUUACGUCCUAAAGACAAGGAUGGUCUCUUACAUAAUCACAGUACAGCUACUGAGAUCAGGGAAUUGCUAUUGAUACAGAUAGAAUAUUAGUAUCAGGUCUACAGACUUUGAUUAUAUUUCGCCAAUUGGAAAAUAGUCCCAACAGUGUCCUUUAUAGCAAAAUGAUAAGGAAUAAGAAGGAGUAGAAGGAGGAGAGAGAGAGAAAGAGAGAGAGAGGGAGAGAGAGAGAGAAGAAAAGGAAAAAAAGCAAAAGCAAAGAGAAAUUCUUGAAUCACUCAGUGCCUUCGCUUGUCAUGCCUCUUGUGUCUCUGGUGAUCUGGAAGCAUUCCUUGCUCUGUCUUUGUAUCUCAGGACGUUGAUAGUUUUAGAGUACAGGCCAAUUAUUCUGUAGAAUGUUCAUCAAUUUGGCUUUGUCACAUUGGAUUUCUGUUAUGUUCUUUUGACAGGAACACCCUAGAAAUGAUGUUAUGUACUUCGCAGAACAUCAUAGCAGGAGGCACAUGCCAUCAGGAUCGGUCCUGUGAUUGGUGAUGCUAGCUUUGAUCAUUUGCUUAAGGUGGUGUCUAAUUUUUCCUUUGUUCUUAGUAAGUAUCUUGUGGGGAAAUCCUUUGAAACUGUAUGAAGAUCAGAGCCGGGACUUUUCCCCCAGCAGUCCGACUCAAGAACUCACAAUAAUCGGCUACACUUACCAUUUCCCCAUUUGGCUGGCGUUUAUUCAGGAUUGACCAGGCGCUGUGCUGAUCUCCUGGCUUGCUUACUCUGGGGUAGUAGCUGUCAUGUCAUGAGAACACUCAAGCAACAUGUGGAGAGGCCCCGGAGAGGAGAAACUGAGGCAUCCUACCAAGAGUCAGCAUCAACUUGCCAGCCAUAGUGUGCCCAGCAUGGUGGCUGGUGUAGAGCAGAUUCUUGGCAAAUGUUGGCUGGAUGAAUUUUUGCCUGGAGACUUCAGGUCAAUCACAAUUUUCUGGAAGUUCCGUCCUGUUGACUCAUCUUGUUCACAGAAGAAAAAGGUGUCAGUCUGUCUUUCUGCAUCAGUCGGAUCCUUGAGAUAUUUAAGAAACAAGGAGGUGAAGGCAUCAUGUCCAUUGCCUCCUCCCAUAAGAAGAGGUUAUGAAUUUAUUUUACUUCGACCCCUAAUUCAUUUCCACGGAGAUCAUGCUUACCAGUUGCUGUAAGUCUCUCGCAUCCGCUGAGAUGUGUCUGUCUUCUUGUUGGCUAAUGGUUUUGUCAUUAGUCUGAUGAAUAGACUCAAUAUAACAUUCUUCAACUCCGGAGUAGGAAGAGAUUCUCAUAACUACCCUGCUGACCCUGUCAUCUUACAGGACAGAAACCUUCCAAUUGGGCUUUCAUAAGGAGACAGACUAAAUGGGUGAAGUGUCUCUUUUUCUCUGGCCAAGUCAUUUUGGAUGGAGGGAAUGCAAAAGUCACCUUCUAAUUUGACGACUGCCCAAGAAAGUAAAUUUCAUUUUUAGUGCAGUGGUUAGAAUUUGUUUGCUAGAAGGAAGUUGUAAGGAACCAGUGUGUCUUGCAUAUCAUGGUCAUCCCAAGCACAUGAUAGAUAUAUUUAUUGAAUAAAUAGUUAUUGAAGAAGUUGAAAAAAAUUAAUGAAAGGGAAAGAACAAACAAUGAUAUACACAUAGUAGAUACUGUCCAAAUACUGAUGAAUAAGAGAAGAAAGGAAUAAAUGAAUAAAUGAAUGAAAGUAAUUCCCAAAGUGAAAUAACAUUAAAUGGCUGAGUUUGAAUGUAUGAGAGAAUUGCAGAGUGUCUUCCUGUGAAUAAUGGUGCCCUUGACGGUCUUCCCGCAAUUUGCAGAGUUGGUUUCUCAGUGCCCGCCUUUGUCCAAUGCGACUCAUUCCUUCUGACCACAAUUGUCUGGAACAGGAUUGGCAUCUAACCCAAGGAGACAAAGGAAAAUAUCUUCCCCGGGAAGAGCGGAGACUGAGAUUCUGUCUUUGCCUGUUGUAUUUACUGUAAUGUGUUCAUGUGGCUACUAUGGGGAGCCGUCUUUCCCUCACCAAGAACAUAAGGAAGAAGGAAAGAUGGUUUUCCAUGAAGCAGAAGAAUAAAUACAGAGAGAGAGAGAGAGAGAAGGAAAGUGUGAGUGAGCACUAGAGAAGAGAAAUGGAGAAAGAUAAAUCUCUGGAUUCCUGAGAUUCUUCUAGUUCCUGGAUAUAAUCCUGAAUCUUUAUAAUUUCCCCAACGUUUUUGCUCCAGUUAGCACAAAUUGAUUUAUGUCAUUACACCCCAAACAGUCUUCACUCACAUGCCCAGAAAUGAGACGCUCUAGAUCUCAUGGCCUUUGUGCAAAGACAAAGACUGGAUCUCUUAGCAGCUCGGCCACUUACGGCUCCCAGUUCCCUUCCUGCUUCUUCAUCCCUUUGGAUUUAAAGAUGAAAAAAAUAGAAGAAGGAGGAGAAAGAAAGAAUGGAACACCUCUGCCCUCAUCACUUGAAGCUGAUGGGUGAGAAGUUGCUUGAUUUGGUUUCCAUUCAGCGCUGAGGUUUGUCUUCCCUGCUUUCGGCAUGAGUCUCAGUUGCUUUAUCUUGGCUCCUGGUUGCUCAAGAGGACUGAAGGGUGUCCAGGGCAGGGCUGUGGUAUUUGCAUUGGCUGUCAGAGCUGCUGGGUUAGUAGAAGGGCCUGACCUCAGCCUUCAGUGCAUCAGACAUUUGCUUUCUGGGGUUCCUUGCCCUGGUGAUUAGGACAAAAGGCCCCCACAGUUGAGUCUCAGUGAAACCUGAUUGGCGUCUCCUAGAAGUGUUGUGUUUUGUAGCGCUACCACUAGGGAUCAUGGGAAAGAAACGGUUCUUCUUUUCUCCCUUCUCCUCUCCAGCAAGGGAAGCUGGUGGUUUUGGCUGCGUCGGUGGAAAAACAAAUACCCUUCCACAAAUAAGUUCUUCUCACAGCCUUGAAUUAGUGUUGGCAAAAACACCUCCGCGUGGGGAUUCCACAAAGGCACAAGCCAACCACACCUUGAAGAGAGAGGACCUCAAAGAGGUGGGGUGGACGGGUUGGGUGGAGCGGUUUUGGGGCAAAGGAGGCAGUGAGUGUCCCUGAGAGGAAAUGUCAAAACGAAGAGCUGGGAAGGCACAGAGAGACGAGGUCUCCUGGCAGCUUUCUCUGGAUCAGGCCGGAUACUUUCAUUUCAACCGGUUUCUUAGGUGUUGGCAAAGGCAUCGUGAGUCCUAGCAGCCAGCAAAUCCAUGGCUGCCUGGGAAAAGCACAGUCGUAACAAAAAGAAGAAGAAAGGAACUUGCUUUGCGAAUGAACUUGCAGACCCUGGAAACUGCACAUAAGGGAAAGUUUAAAAUAAUGGCGCUUUGAUGGAAUCUCUUUCUUCAGCCCAAAAACACACCUCUUUUUUUAGCAUCGUUAAAAAGUUGCUCUUCCUCAGCAUCACUGCUACCCUUUGCCACCCCGACCCCCUUGG